rfam:Phycomyces blakesleeanus NRRL 1555(-) unplaced genomic scaffold PHYBLscaffold_1, whole genome shotgun sequence.
GGGACUAUGGCCCAAUGGACAAGGCGUCUGACUACGAAUCAGGAGAUUCCAGGUUCGACCCCUGGUAGUCUCA